rnacentral:rRNA from 1 species
UACGUAGGGUGCAAGCGUUAAUCGGAAUUACUGGGCGUAAAGCGUGCGCAGGCGGCUAUAUAAGACAGGCGUGAAAUCCCCGGGCUCAACCUGGGAAUUGCGCUUGUGACUGCAAAGCUGGAGUGCGGCAGAGGGGGAUGGAAUUCCGCGUGUAGCAGUGAAAUGCGUAGAUAUGCGGAGGAACACCGAUGGCGAAGGCAAUCCCCUGGGCCUGCACUGACGCUCAUGCACGAAAGCGUGGGGAGCAAACAGG